rnacentral:rRNA from 1 species
AGGAACUUGCCUCUUGGUCUGGGACAACUGUUGGAAACGACAGCUAAUACCGGAUAUUAUGAGAUUCUCGCAUGGGAAACUUAUGAAAGCUAUAUGCGCCAAGAGAGAGCCUUGCGUUCCAUUAGCUAGUUGGUGGGGUAACGGCCCACCAAGGCGACGAUGGAUAGCCGGCCUGAGAGGGUGAACGGCCACAAGGGGACUGAGACACGGCCCUUACUCCUACGGGAGGCAGCAGUGGGGAAUAUUGGACAAUGGGCCACAAGCCUGAUCCAGCAAUUCUGUGUGCACGAUGAAGGUCUUCGGAUUGUAAAGUGCUUUCAGUUGGGAAGAAGAAAGUGACGGUACCAACAGAAGAAGCGACGGCUAAAUACGUGCCAGCAGCCGCGGUAAUACGUAUGUCGCAAGCGUUAUCCGGAUUUAUUGGGCGUAAAGCGCGUCUAGGCGGAAAAAUAAGUCUGAUGUUAAAAUGCGGGGCUCAACUCCGUAUUGCGUUGGAAACUGUUUUUCUAGAGUACUGGAGAGGUGGGCGGAACUACAAGUGUAGAGGUGAAAUUCGUAGAUAUUUGUAGGAAUGCCGAUGGAGAAGUCAGCUCACUGGACAGAUACUGACGCUAAAGCGCGAAAGCGUGGGGAGCAAACAGGAUUAGAUACCCUGGUAGUCCACGCCGUAAACGAUGAUCACUAGGUGUUGGGGGU